AGAGCUCUCGGCUCAUAACCGAGUGGUCGUAGGUUCAAGUCCUACAAGGUCCAUUUGAAUAUUGGAGGAUUACCCAAGUCCGGCUGAAGGGAACGGUCUUGAAAACCGUCAGGCGUGUAAAAGCGUGCGUGGGUUCGAAUCCCACAUCCUCCUUUUAUAUUAUUAACGCGGGAUGGAGCAGCUCGGUAGCUCGUCGGGCUCAUAACCCGAAGGUCGUAGGUUCAAAUCCUGCUCCCGCAAUAAGGCUCGGUAGCUCAGUUGGUAGAGCAAUGGAUUGAAGCUCCAUGUGUCGGCGGUUCGAUUCCGUCUCGCGCCAUUUUAUUGAUAGUAUUUAUGCGGGUGUAGUUUAGUGGUAAAACUACAGCCUUCCAAGCUGUUGUCGCGAGUUCGAUUCUCGUCACCCGCUUUGAACUUUGUUCAAAUUACCAAGUUUUUUAACUUGGGCGCGUAGCUCAGGUGGUUAGAGCGCACGCCUGAUAAGCGUGAGGUCGGUGGUUCGAGUCCACUCGUGCCCAUUAAUUGGAGAAUUACUCAAGAGGCUGAAGAGGACGGUUUGCUAAAUCGUUAGGUCGGGUAACUGGCGCAAGGGUUCGAAUCCCUUAUUCUCCGUUUUAAUGAGAGUUUGUAACUCUCUUUUUUAUUUUUAGAGACAAUAAAGCUUCAGAUCCGUAAAACUUAAUGGCUCUUUGUCAACUGUAGUGGGUUGAAGAAAAGCUAAGCUCGAGAAAGGACAAAUUUCGUCCUUUCUUUUUUGAUAUUCAGGGCGAUAAAAAUCCGUUUUUUGAAGUUUUCAAAGUUCCGAAAACCAAAGGCAUUGCGCUUGAUAAGUUUGAUGAGAUUAUUGGUCGCUUCCAAUUUGGCGUUUGAAUAGGGUAGUUGAAGGGCGUUGACGAUUUUCUCUUUGUUCUUUAGAAAGGUUUUAAAGACAGUCUGAAAAAUAGGAUGAACCUGCUUCAGAUUGUCCUCAAUGAGUCCGAAAAAUUUCUCAGGGUCUUUGUUCUGAAAGUGAAAAAGUAAGAGUUGAUAGAUCUGAUAGUGGUGUUUCAAGUCUUCUGAAUAGCUUAAAAUCUUGUCAAGAAUUUCUUUAUUUGUUAAGUGCAUGCGAAAAGUAGGGCGAUAAAAACGUUUAUCGCUGAGUUUACGACUAUCCUGUUGGAUGAGUUUCCAGUAACGCUUGAUAGCCUUGUAUUCAUGAGAUUUUCGUUCAAACUGAUUCAUAAUUUGAACACGAAAACGACUCAUGGCACGGCUGAGAUGUUGGAUAAUAUGGAAACGAUCUAGAACGAUUUUAGCACACGGAAAAAGCUGUUUAGCCAAGUCAUAGUAAGGACUAAACAUAUCCAUCGUAAUGAUUUUCACUUGACAACGAACGGCUCUAUCGUAGCGAAGAAAGUGAUUUCGGAUGACAGCUUGUGUUCUGCCUUCAAGAACAGUGAUAAUAUUAAGAUUAUCAAAAUCUUGCGCAAUGAAACUCAUCUUUCCCUUAGUGAAGGCAUACUCAUCCCAAGACAUAAUCUUUGGAAGCCGAGAAAAAUCAUGCUCAAAGUGAAAGUCAUUGAGCUUGCGAAUGACAGUUGAAGUUGAAAUGGCCAGCUGAUGGGCAAUAUCAGUCAUAGAAAUUUUUUCAAUUAACUUUUGAGCAAUUUUUUGGUUGAUGAUACGAGGGAUUUGGUGAUUUUUCUUUACCAGGGGAGUCUCAGCAACCAUCAUUUUUGAACAGUGAUAGCACUUGAAACGGCGUUUUCUAAGGAGAAUUCUAGAAGGCAUACCAGUUGUUUCGAGGUAAGGGAUCUUAGACGGUUUUUGAAAGUCAUAUUUCUUCAUUAGACUUCCACAAUCAGGGCAAGAUGGAGCCUCAUAAUCCAGCUUAGCGAUAAUUUCUUUGUGGGUAUCCAUAUUGAUGAUAUCUAGAAUCUUGAUGUUUGGGUCUUUAAUAUCGAGCAGUUUUGUGAUAAAAUGUAAUUGUUCCAUAUGANGUAUUAGCUAGUUGGUGGGGUAACGGCUCACCAAGGCGACGAUACAUAGCCGACCUGAGAGGGUGAUCGGCCACACUGGGACUGAGACACGGCCCAGACUCCUACGGGAGGCAGCAGUAGGGAAUCUUCGGCAAUGGACGGAAGUCUGACCGAGCAACGCCGCGUGAGUGAAGAAGGUUUUCGGAUCGUAAAGCUCUGUUGUAAGAGAAGAACGAGUGUGAGAGUGGAAAGUUCACACUGUGACGGUAUCUUACCAGAAAGGGACGGCUAACUACGUGCCAGCAGCCGCGGUAAUACGUAGGUCCCGAGCGUUGUCCGGAUUUAUUGGGCGUAAAGCGAGCGCAGGCGGUUAGAUAAGUCUGAAGUUAAAGGCUGUGGCUUAACCAUAGUAGGCUUUGGAAACUGUUUAACUUGAGUGCAAGAGGGGAGAGUGGAAUUCCAUGUGUAGCGGUGAAAUGCGUAGAUAUAUGGAGGAACACCGGUGGCGAAAGCGGCUCUCUGGCUUGUAACUGACGCUGAGGCUCGAAAGCGUGGGGAGCAAACAGGAUUAGAUACCCUGGUAGUCCACGCUGUAAACGAUGAGUGCUAGGUGUUAGACCCUUUCCGGGGUUUAGUGCCGUAGCUAACGCAUUAAGCACUCCGCCUGGGGAGUACGACCGCAAGGUUGAAACUCAAAGGAAUUGACGGGGGCCCGCACAAGCGGUGGAGCAUGUGGUUUAAUUCGAAGCAACGCGAAGAACCUUACCAGGUCUUGACAUCCCUCUGACCGCUCUAGAGAUAGAGUUUUCCUUCGGGACAGAGGUGACAGGUGGUGCAUGGUUGUCGUCAGCUCGUGUCGUGAGAUGUUGGGUUAAGUCCCGCAACGAGCGCAACCCCUAUUGUUAGUUGCCAUCAUUUAGUUGGGCACUCUAGCGAGACUGCCGGUAAUAAACCGGAGGAAGGUGGGGAUGACGUCAAAUCAUCAUGCCCCUUAUGACCUGGGCUACACACGUGCUACAAUGGCUGGUACAACGAGUCGCAAGCCGGUGACGGCAAGCUAAUCUCUUAAAGCCAGUCUCAGUUCGGAUUGUAGGCUGCAACUCGCCUACAUGAAGUCGGAAUCGCUAGUAAUCGCGGAUCAGCACGCCGCGGUGAAUACGUUCCCGGGCCUUGUACACACCGCCCGUCACACCACGAGAGUUUGUAACACCCGAAGUCGGUGAGGUAACCGUAAGGAGCCAGCCGCCUAAGGUGGGAUAGAUGAUUGGGGUGAAGUCGUAACAAGGUAGCCGUAUCGGAAGGUGCGGCUGGAUCACCU
rnacentral:rRNA from 1 species